ensembl:lncRNA
GGCGCCACCUGUUCUAAUGUGUAUUAGUGAUAUUUUAAAACAAUUAGAGCUUUUGCUUAGACACAAUUUACCAGCCUUUUCAGAAUUGAGAGACAUACAGGAGUAUGUAGAAUUGCAAAUCAAACAGACAUAUAUAAAGAAGGAUCAAGAGUACAUCAUGCACUAUUAAAUGAAGAUGGCAGAGGCAGAGAGGCAUUUACUGCUGCUGCUGCUAAGCUGCUUCAGUAGUAUCUGACUCUGUGCGACCCCUGAGACUGCAGCCCACCAGGCUCCCCUGUCCCUGGGAUUCUCCAGGCAAGAACACUGGAGUGGGUUGCCAUUUCCUUCUCCAAUGCAUGAAAGUGAAAAGUGAAAGUGAAGUCGCUCAGUCGUGUCCGACUCUUUGUGACCCCAUGGACUGCAGCCUACUAGGCUCCUCCUUCCAUGGAAUUUUCCAGGCAAGAGUAUUGGAGUUGGUUGCCACUGCCUUCUCCCAUUAGACAUCUGAAUGACAGUAAAUCAAAGGACACAAAUUUUAAAACGGUUGGAGUCAGAAUAUUUCCAAUAUCUGCCAAUAGAGGCUAGAGAGACAGCACUUAACUCAUCAAAAGGUGGAAGAAACAGACAAACCAAUAGAAUAAUCAAAGAACUACAUUCAAAAAGGUGUCAAAGCUCCAUGAUGGAUGAGAGAUAUAAAAAUUACAUGGGUUUGCGGAGUUCCCUGGUGGCUCAGGGGUAAAGAAGCUGCCUGCCAGUGCAGGAGACAUGGGUUUGAUCCCUGGUUCUUGAAGAUCCCACAUGCCAAGGAGCAACUAAGCCUGUGCACCACAACUACUGAGCCUGUGAUCUAGAACCCAGAACCAGAACUACUGAGCCAAUGAGCCAUACUACUGAAGCCCACACACCCGAGAGCCCCUGCUCCUCAACAGGAGAAGCUCCACAGUGGGAAGCCCACACACCACAACCGGAGAGUAGCCUCUGCUCCCCACACUAGAGAAAAAGCAGAGAAGAUCCAGCACAGCCAAAA